UGGGGAAUAUUGGACAAUGGGCGAAAGCCUGAUCCAGCCAUGCCGCGUGUGUGAAGAAGGUCUUCGGAUUGUAAAGCACUUUCAGUUGGGAGGAAGGGCAGUAAGCGAAUACCUUGCUGUUUUGACGUUACCGACAGAAUAAGCACCGGCUAACUCUGUGCCAGCAGCCGCGGUAAUACAGAGGGUGCAAGCGUUAAUCGGAAUUACUGGGCGUAAAGCGCGCGUAGGUGGUUCGUUAAGUUGAAUGUGAAAGCCCCGGGCUCAAACUGGGAACUGCAUCCAAAACUGGCGAGCUAGAGUAGGGCAGAGGGUGGUGGAAUUUCCUGUGGAGCGGUGAAAUGCGUAGAUAUAGGAAGGAACACCAGUGGCGAAGGCGACCACCUGGGCUCAUACUGACACUGAGGUGCGAAAGCGUGGGGAGCAAACAGG
rnacentral:rRNA from 1 species